AGGGUUUGAUCCUGGCUCAGAACGAACGCUGGCGGCAUGCCUAACACAUGCAAGUCGAACGAAGGCUUCGGCCUUAGUGGCGCACGGGUGCGUAACGCGUGGGAAUCUGCCCUUGGGUACGGAAUAACAGUUAGAAAUGACUGCUAAUACCGUAUAAUGACUUCGGUCCAAAGAUUUAUCGCCCAGGGAUGAGCCCGCGUCGGAUUAGCUAGUUGGUGAGGUAAAGGCUCACCAAGGCGACGAUCCGUAGCUGGUCUGAGAGGAUGAUCAGCCACACUGGGACUGAGACACGGCCCAGACUCCUACGGGAGGCAGCAGUGGGGAAUAUUGGACAAUGGGCGCAAGCCUGAUCCAGCAAUGCCGCGUGAGUGAUGAAGGCCUUAGGGUUGUAAAGCUCUUUUACCCGGGAAGAUAAUGACUGUACCGGGAGAAUAAGCCCCGGCUAACUCCGUGCCAGCAGCCGCGGUAAUACGGAGGGGGCUAGCGUUGUUCGGAAUUACUGGGCGUAAAGCGCACGUAGGCGGCUUUGUAAGUUAGAGGUGAAAGCCCGGGGCUCAACCCCGGAAUUGCCUUUAAGACUGCAUCGCUAGAAUUGUGGAGAGGUAAGUGGAAUUCCGAGUGUAGAGGUGAAAUUCGUAGAUAUUCGGAAGAACACCAGUGGCGAAGGCGACUUACUGGACACAUAUUGACGCUGAGGUGCGAAAGCGUGGGGAACAAACAGGAUUAGAUACCCUGGUAGUCCACGCCGUAAACGAUGAUGACUAGCUGUCGGGGCGCUUAGCGUUCCGGUGGCGCAGCUAACGCGUUAAGUCAUCCGCCUGGGGAGUACGGCCGCAAGG
rnacentral:rRNA from 1 species